UACCUCUGAAGCUGCCAUUCACCUCUAAUUACACGUCUGCUGAAAUCGUGCAGAGAAGGAACAGUGAAUUACUACGUUUGCAGCCAUAGAAACAGUACUUAGGUCUGGAUACAAAGGAAAUAUAAUGCCCCGAUUAAUUUUCUGCAUCACUGAAAUGGAGCUUCUGUCAAAUGGGGGAGGCAGACGUUGCUGAUGCUGAGGAGCCAUCCCAGAACCAGGCCUGCAGCACUGCUUGGGAACAAAAGAUGACCCCAUGCCAGUGCUCUUCUGGAGUACUGCAAAGUGCGUUCCAGGGGUCAGCCGGUGGAACUGCCACCCAGAACAACAAGGGCUGCCUUCCUCCCCUCUCAGGGUGAUUUGUUUCCACAUCCCAAACGUUUCAAUCAGCCACCGUGCCCAAGCAGUGCUGAGAAUACCAACAAAGCUGUCACGAGACAACACCUUGAUGGAACAUGGGGACCUUUAAGUUGGAGCUGUACAAGCAAACCAGAUAAGAAAUGUUUUCAAAAUACACACGAGAAGCACUACAGUGAUAGGAAAAAUGAUUAUUUGCACAUUCUUCAUUGUUUUAAACAGCCGAUACAAUUAAAGUAGAUAUUGUAU
rnacentral:lncRNA from 1 species